CGGCGAUGAGGAGACCCAAAUGGUUGAAUGGCUGUGAUAGUGUUUACGCUAUUCUGAGCCGACG